GUAAGGGAUAUUGCGCAAUGGGCGAAAGCCUGACGCAGCAACGCCGCGUGUCCGAGGAAGGCCUUCGGGUCGUAAAGGACUUUUCGGGGAGAAGAGGAAGGACGGUACCCCCGGAAAAAGUGUCGGCUAACUACGUGCCAGCAGCCGCGGUAAAACGUAGGACGCGAGCGUUAUCCGGAGUUACUGGGCGUAAAGGGCGGGUAGGCGGACUAAGAAGUUGAUCGUGAAAUCUCCCGGCUAAACUGGGAGGGAGCGGUCGAAACUGAUAGACUAGAGGACAGCAGAGGGUCGCGGAAUUCCGGGUGGAGUGGUGAAAUGCGUAGAGAUCCGGAGGAACACCAGAGGCGAAAGCGGCGACCUGGGCUGUAGCUGACGCUGAACCGCGAAAGCCAGGGUAGCGAACGGGAUUAGAAACCCGUGUAGUCC
rnacentral:rRNA from 1 species